UACGAGGGGUGCAAGCGUUAAUCGGAAUUACUGGGCGUAAAGCGUGCGUAGGUGGUUUGUUAAGCAAGAUGUGAAAGCCCCGGGCUCAACCUGGGAACUGCAUUUUGAACUGGCAAACUAGAGUAUUGUAGAGGGUAGUGGAAUUUCCAGUGUAGCGGUGAAAUGCGUAGAGAUUGGAAGGAACAUCAGUGGCGAAGGCGGCUACCUGGACAAAUACUGACACUGAGGCACGAAAGCGUGGGGAGCAAACAGG
rnacentral:rRNA from 1 species